rnacentral:misc_RNA from 1 species
AAGUCGUAACAAGGUUUCCGUAGGUGAACCUGCGGAAGGAUCAUUAACACGUUAUCCACGUAUCUACCUCUUGUGAACUUAUUUUUAGAGUUGGCGACCAGCGUAGUGAUGGGAGCAGAUUUUUACUAUGUCCAUUCGACGCCCGUCGGUUCGGGCCCGUUUGGUUCUGCCUUUUCCCUAAUCGAUCCCAGAAGAGUGCGAAUGAGAGGCCUAUCCACCCUCGUCGUCGCAUGUUCACUCCGGCGGAUCGGGUAUGCUGGUACAUAUGACUCGAAUCAUAGUAGAUUUUAAAAUAUUAAACCUUUUUUUAAUAAUUGUAAGAUCGUGAUGGUCUUAGGUAACACUUCGACUCACGUUAAUAAAACACUAUACAACUCUUAGCAACGGAUAUCUCGGUUCUCC